rnacentral:rRNA from 1 species
GUGCCAGCCGCCGCGGUAAUACGUAGGGUGCAAGCGUUAAUCGGAAUUACUGGGCGUAAAGCGUACGCAGGCGGUUUGAUAAGACAGGUGUGAAAUCCCCGGGCUUAACCUGGGAACUGCAUUUGUGACUGUCAGACUAGAGUCCGUUAGAGGGGGGUGGAAUUCCACGUGUAGCAGUGAAAUGCGUAGAGAUGUGGAGGAACACCGAUGGCGAAGGCAGCCCCCUGGGAUGAGACUGACGCUCAUGUACGAAAGCGUGGGGAGCAAACAGGAUUAGAUACCCUGGUAGUCCACGCCCUAAACGAUGUCGACUAGUUGUCGGGUCUUUAUUGACUUGGUAACGCAGCUAACGCGUGAAGUCGACCGCCUGGGGAGUACGGUCGCAAGAUUAAAACUCAAAUAAAUUGACGG